AUGGGCAAACAUCAUGUGAAUCUUAUCAAAUUAUCAAGAUGAUUGGAAUUUCAAGAAUAGUCUUGUUAUUUCCGCGAGUGUGGGACAAUAAGGGGUAAUUUACGUUAAAAAAAUGAGCGCAGCGUUUAUAUAGCUUUAUAUAAUAUUUUUAUACAUACAGCAUAUACGUGAUAUUUUACGAUCGAUGAACCUUGAUAGAUGAUAAUAUUGUUAGAAAAACAAUAUGAACGGUUUAGAAAUCUUGUGACACAUUUCCGAGUGAAAUCUGUAAG